rnacentral:rRNA from 1 species
UACGGGGGGAGCAAGCGUUGUUCGGAUUUACUGGGCGUAAAGGGCGCGUAGGCGGUCAGCACAAGUCAGUUGUGAAAUCUCCGGGCUUAACCCGGGAAAGGUCAACUGAUACUGUGCGACUAGAGUGCGGAAGGGGCAACUGGAAUCUCGGUGUAGCGGUGAAAUGCGUAGAUAUCGAGAGGAACACCUGCGGCGAAGGCGGGUUGCUGGGCCGACACUGACGCUGAUGCGCGAAAGCCAGGGGAGCGAACGGG